GAAUGAAGGAAGCCUGAUAAUGUGCACAAAAAUUGAUUUGGGUCUCUAGGCUUGUCCUCUUUGAUGUCUUUCGGCUUUGAUUUGAGGGUAUGGUUCCGUGUCAAAACG